UCAAGACAAACAGUAUCUGAAACGUUAGAAGGAAAGUAACAUGAAACGACUAACAAAACAGCUGGCAAGCACCAACAAAAAACAAACAAAGAAAGAAAAACGCCUAGAAACAAUCAAUACCAAACCACCAGAAAACAACACUUGAGCCAAAGAAAACCACUGUCUUACACCCAAUAUCAGCCAUUUCUCUCCUCACCAUCAGAUUCUGGAACAAGUAUAAUGAGAGAACAAGCACUUAGGACGACCCUCCUCUGUUUCCAAGGUACACCAAGAUGAACUCAGCUCCGCCGGUCCCAAGCUAAACGGUCCUACAAUGCCGCUAAUCGGACUGAUUCGGGCACUCCAGUAAGCCAAUCCCCAUAGAUCUUUCGUCUCCGGCCCUCCAAUGCUAGUGUAUGAGCCGCCUCAUUAAUCAAUCGAGUCACUGCAAGGUAAGAUAUCUCCUCAAAAGACAUACCCAAAAUAUAGAUGUGAUGUGUAAUUGGUCUGAGCACCGAUUUAUCCUUCUCCUUUCUUUUAACAUUUUUUUAUAACUGUCAGCAAAUCGCCUUCCACAACCAGUCGACGGAAACACAUCCUACCCGCGAAGAUUAGCGCCCUUUCACAAGCCCUAGCUUCUGCCACAAACGCAUCGGCAACAUCAUUAAAGAGAUAAGUUUCUGCCCCUACAAUCUCACCUGUAAAAUUUCUGGCUAGAAUUGCUGUUACAGCAAGCUUCUCCUCCUUUAGGAAUGACGCAUCAAAGUUUAACUUGAUAACUCCUGGGUCCGGUGGUCUCCAGAUCUCCUUAAUCAGUGGUCUAGGAGGGGAACAGGGAGACAUAAAAUUAAGACAAAUGUUGUGCACAUAUCCCCGAAUAAACCCUAGCACCUCCUACAUCGAGAAGUAAACCCCUUCAUGAACUAGCUUAUUUCUAUGGAACCAAAGACUCCAAAUGGAGAUCACGAUGAUUUGUUUUUGUUGUUCAUCAGCUGCAAAGAACAUUUUAACAAAACGGAGUAUGUGACCCACCGAAUCUUCGAAUGAAGGAAUCUGCACUAUUAACAACGCUCACACCCUCUGCAGGAUACUACAAGACCACAGCAGGUGAUCGGAAUCCUCCAGCUCUUCCUUACACAACAGACACGAUACAGCUGCACACAAAGUCCUACGCGCCAAGUUACCAAAAUGAGGCACCAAAUUAUUCACCAGCCUCCAAAUAUGUAUUUUAAUUUUCCCUGGAAUGUUCAAUGACCAUAAAGCAUUUUAAAAUACUUUGUAAUCCUCACCAAAAGAGGAUCUGUAAGUAGAGUCUCGUAAGUAGUCAGUAUUAAGAGCCCAAUAUCCACUCUUAACAGAGUAUUCCCCAGAACCCUCAUGUUUCCAAACCAACCUAUCCUCCUGACCACUUUCAGAAAUGGGAAUAGCGAAAAUACGGUCCGCUGUACUCUCAUCCACCAAGUAAUAAACCAGAUCCCUAUCCCAGGUACUAGUCUCCGUGUUAAUUAGCUGAUUGACAGUAGUCCAAUUAGGCCUAAUCAUCUGUACUGAAAUACGAUUAUUCUCUCUUCCAAGUAACUAGAGGUCAUUCCAGAUGUUGAUGCGAUCACCCUUCCCAACCCGCCAAUGCACCCCUUCUCUAAUUACCUCACGAGCACUGCAGAGACUUCUCCAGGUAAACGAGGGGUAAGAUCCAAUUUUUGUUGAUAAAAUAUCAAUUUUUGUUGAUAAAAUAUCAGAAGACGGAAAAUACCUGGCUUUAAAGACUUUAGCUAACAAACAAUGAGGUUGAUCAAAAAUACGCCAAACUUGCUUUGCUAAUAAAGCUUUAUUAAAUAAGAACAAAUUUUUAAAGCCUAACCCCCCAAAGCACUUCGGUUUGCAUAACAUCUCUCAACUGCUCCAGUGGAUACCUUUCGAUGACUUAUUGUUUGUCCACCAAAAUCUGUUCAUAAUUCAUUCGAGCUUACAACAUAGUGACUUCGGCAAUAAAAAACAUUGCAUAGCAUUAAUUGGAGCUGCUUGUAGAACCGAUUUAAUAAACACCUCCUUCCCUUCCAUAGACAAAUAGCACAACCUCCAUCCUUCCACGCGUUUUCUGAGUCGAUUGCAAAGUUAGCAAAAGCCCACAUUUUCCUCUGGCCUACCAUCAUAGGCAAGCCAAAAUAUUUCUCCGGGUUCACAGCCUCCUGAACUCCUAACAGGUUGACAAUAUCCACCUUGGCAUUAGAGUUUACAUUCGCACCAAAAUAAAUAAGAGACUUAUCAAAAUUCACUCGCUGUUCUGAAACAAUUUCAUAUUCCCUUAUUAUAUCCCGAAUCACUCUUUCCCAUUACACGAAGCAUCUCCAAAGAGAAUGCAAUCAUCCGCAAAAAACAAAUGAUUAAGGGUCAAUCGUUCCCUACCGACAGAUGCACCCAUCAUUCGACCCUUCUGUUUUGCAUCCUGUAAAAGCGUAGAAAACCCUCAGCACAAAUCAAAAAUAGGUAUGGACUAAGAGGGUCACCUUGUCGUAACCCUCUUGAAGGAAGAAACCAUUCACUGUUCGCUCCAUUAAGGCUAACUGAGUAAGAAACGAAACAAACACACCUCAUAACAAGCACAAUCCAAUCAGCAUGAAAACCUAAAUACUUCAUCAUUCUAGCCAAAAAAUCUCAUUCAACACGAUCAUAGGCUUUACUCAUAUCAAGCUUAAGUGCAAAGUUCCCCUUCUUGCCUUUUCUCUUCAUUUUGAGUGAAUGGAGGACUUCAUAAGCAAUCAACACAUUGUCCGGGAUAAGUCUUCUUGGGAUGAAAGCUCAUUGAGCUUCAUUAAUACAAUUGCCCAAAAUAUCACUCAUACGGAUAACCAAGACUUUCGUCACAAUUUUGUAGAUAACGUUACAAAGGCUUAUAGGCCUAAACUGGGUCAUAUUCUUAGGUUUGUCCACUUUGGGAAUCAAAAUGAUACGCGUUUUAUUAAUAUCACCUAUUUCAGUCUGACCAUGCAAGAUAGAUAAACAAUACCGUGAAAUCUCUGUACCAAUAAUAUGCCAGUAUUUUUGGAAAAAAAAUUACAGGAAAUCCAUCAACACCAGGAGCUUUCAAAGGGGUCAUUGACUGAACGACAUUGGCAACAUCCUUCUCAGUGAAUUGUUUUAACAAACUAUCAUUCAUGCUAUCAGAAAACCACUUCUCUACUAAUCCAAAUAGAUGCUCAUCCGAUCCCAUUUCUGAUGCUAUAAACAGCUUACCAAAAUAAUCUGAAGCUAUCUUGAUACACUCGAGAGUUGAAGUAGUUCGUCUACCAUUCUCAUCUUCUAAUUCAAAAAUUCUACCACAGAGGUGGCGUUGCACCGCAACCGUAUGGAAAUAUUUGGUAUUUCGAUCGCCAUUCUUCAACCAGUUGACUCGGGCUCGUUGCUCCCAAAAUAGUUCUUCUUUGUCAGCUUCCAAAUUAAGCCCUAAUUGAACCUCCAUAAUUUCCUUAAGGGUCUCAUCAGAAACUUCCCGAUGAUAAAGACUGUUUAACUUUUCUUCCAGAUCCACACGAAUCUUUUUCUCUUCUUUAUCCCUUGACUUACUCUACUUUUGCAUUUGGUGACCAAUUCUCUCAAGCUUGCUCGGUACACAACCAGAUGUAUCCUCCCACCAUCUUCGAACCCUUUCCUCAAAUAAGCUUUCCAAACACCACUUGGCCUCAAACUGAAAAGUCUAAGCUUCGUUACUCUUGCUCCGAGCUUCCCAUCUCGCCCUUAUGAUAUCAAGAAGAAUGGGGCAAUAAUCUGAAAAGGAGUGGCACAAGUGUUCAAGUUGAUAAUGUGGAAAAAAACUUACCCAGCCCAACGUAGCAACUCCCCGAUCCAGCCGCUCACGUAUGUUUGUAGCAGCGAAUCUACCUCUUUCCCAUGUGAACCACCGACCAAUAAAACCUAAAUCAUUGAGACCACAAUCUUCUAAGACCGUAUGAAAAUCCUUCAUCUGACGUUCUAACCUAAGGCGACCCCCUUUCUUCUCAAAUGACUUGGUGAUUUCAUUAAAGUCCCCCAGAACAACCCAAGGAAUUGAUUGCUCAUUGUUUAAUUGUCAAAGUAGAUUCCAUGAAGCACUUCUACUCCGUUCAUCCGGAUUCCCAUAAAACCCUGUUAGUCUCAAACAAUUACCACAUUCAGUAUCAUGAACCUCAACAUCAAUAUGAAAAGAGGAAAAACUCCUAAGCUUAAUCAAGGCAUUUCCAUUCCAACCCAGAGAUAAACCACCUUUAGAGCCUAUCGCUCCAACAUCAAUACCAUUCGCAAAACCACACUUCAGUCUGUCUACUUCCAUCUUCUUUGAACUUAACUUUGUUUCCAUAAGAAACAAAAUUCGGGGAUUAAUGGCCUUCAAUUUAUUCUUGAGCCUCUUUGCUGUUUGUGAUCUCCCCAAACCACGAACAUUCCAACUUAGUAUUUUCAUUGGUCCCAGCUGCUCUGGUCACCAGAGCUAGUCGAUAAAUGCAUAGAACUUGAGCUCUCUUUAGAUCCUAAAAAAUUGAGCAGUUUUUCCACCACCCUCUGUCGCCUCUUUCCUUCCACUAGCGCUACAACAUCAUUUUCCUCUUCCAAUACCAUGUCCAUGGGCCCCCUCCCAAAUCCGUUGAUAGCCAAACCAUCUUGUCCCCAGUUACGCCAAUUGUGUUGAUCACCAGCAACCUUCUGUAAUUUGUCAGCAAAAAACUAUGAGCCAUCAGCUUCACGUAACCAUUUACUCACCUCCGAAGUCCUGUGCCUCACCACUGCACGCAAUGAUAAAUCCCAACCAGAAACAAUUUUUGAAGGCUCAAUUUUUAGCCUGAAGGGACAAAAACUCUCCCCAUGCCCUAGUUUCCCACAUAUAAAGCAAAAUAGACUUAGUUUUUCAUACUUAAAGCGAGCAUAAGCAGUCAUAGCCUUCCCAACUUGAAUUUUCUUCUUCCGUUUCAACGGAGCAGACACAUCCAAACAGACCCGAAUAUGCAUAUACUUCUUAGAACCCAAAAUCGGGGUAGCAGAAUCAUACUCGAGAAAUCUUCCACAAAAGUUCCCUAAUUGUUUUGCCAACGAUUCAGAAAUCAGUCCUGGAGGCAACUCGUGAACUUGGACCCAAAAUUCUGUAGAAUUUAAUUCCAACAUCGCCAGAUUUCCCCCAUACGAAAUUCUUUUCAGAAUAAUCAAAUGGUUAUUGAAAAACCAAGGUGUUCCAUCAAGCACCCUAGCAAUGUCUACUUCUUGAAAAAAUUGGAAUAGAUACCGGUUUUCCCUUAUAUCCGUAAUGCAGAUUCCUCCAAUAGGAUACCAGAGAUCAGCCAUCGUAUUCCGUAAUGAGGGGAAGUGUACAACACUGUCUGUUAAACAGCGCCCCACAAGAUAAAAUUAAGAGAUAUUUUCCACCGCUGCUACAUCCUCUUGGAUCGCUUCUUCCUCCUCAUCCACUAACCUCAGAUUUGCCAAGUCAUCUUCCAUGAGAAAAGCAGUCAAUGCCAGCAAAACCAACAGGACUGGAUUAAUUAUCGAGAUCAGAUUCUACCAAAUAAAGAGAAACCAAAGGAAACGUGCCAGGCGGCAGGCAGAAACAAACGUGCCGGGCGGCAGACUUUAGGGUUAAAAAUAAUUUGUUUUUUUUAUAAAGCUGAAUGGCUAAAUAAGUUAUUAUGCCUUUGUGAUAUUAUUUAAAAUAAAAAUACAACAUAAAAAUAUAUUUAUUUAUUUUAUGAAAAAUGUAUUCAUAGCAUUACAUAUUUAUAUUAAAAUUUUAUUAAUAGAAAAAGUAAUUAAUAAUAAAUUUUUAUGUUAAAUUAUAAUGUCAAAUAAGUCUUUAAA
rnacentral:lncRNA from 1 species